ACGGGCACGGACGCUCGUGGUUCCACGCAGCAGCGACGUUUUAAAGCAGGCUGCUUGCAAAGCUUUAAAACUCGCAGAUUAGAUUUUGACAUGGAUGUCAAAAUCUAAUCCACU
rnacentral:sRNA from 1 species